rnacentral:rRNA from 1 species
ACGGGGUAGGAGUGCGUAGGUGACGUACCCUUGGGACUGGGAUAGCUACGGGAAACUGUAGGUAAUACCAGAUAAUCUCUCUAGACGUGGUCGUUUGGAGAGCAAAGGUGAGAUUCCACCUGAGGAGCGGCUUGCGUAGUAUUAGCUUGUUGGUGAGGUAACGGCUCACCAAGGCGACGAUGCUUAGGGGGUGUUAGCGCAUGACCCCCACCACUGGGACUGAGAUACUGCCCAGACACCUACGGGUGGCUGCAGUCGAGGAUCUUCGGCAAUGGGCGCAAGCCUGACCGAGCGACGCCGCGUGUGGGAUGAAGGCCCUUGGGUUGUAAACCACUGUCAGAGGGGAUGAAAUGCCGGAGGGUAAUCUCUUCGGUUUGACAUAGCCUCAGAGGAAGCACGGGCUAAGUUCGUGCCAGCAGCCGCGGUAAUACGAACUGUGCAAACGUUAUUCGGAAUCACUGGGCUUAAAGGGUGCGUAGGCGGCUGUCUAAGUAGGGUGUGAAAGCCCCCGGCUCAACCGGGGAAUUGCGCCCUAAACUGGAUGGCUGGAGUGAGGCAGGGGUGUGUGGAACUUCCGGUGGA